UGAAUUGAAUUCAGUAUUCUUAAUGGGC
rnacentral:sRNA from 1 species